AGGAAACCCACCCUGUCACAUGGAGAUCAUGCAAACUCCACACAAACAGUACCCGUGGUCAAUAUCAAACAUGGGUCUUUCGUGCUGUAAGGCAGCA